rnacentral:rRNA from 1 species
GACGAAGGAUGCAAGCGUUAUCCGGAUUCAUUGGGUUUAAAGGGAGCGUAGGUGGCCCUAUAAGUCAGUGGUGAAAUCUCGCAGCUUAACUGCGAAAUUGCCAUUGAUACUGUAGGGCUUGAGUAUAGUUGCCGUUGGCGGAAUAUGACAUGUAGUGGUGAAAUACAUAGAGAUGUCAUAGAACACCGAUUGCGAAGGCAGCUAACGAAACUAUAACUGACACUGAGGCUCGAAAGUGCGGGGAUCAAACAGG